rnacentral:rRNA from 1 species
GACGAACGCUGGCGGCGGGCUUAACACAUGCAAGUCGAACGGUGAAGCGCCUUCCUUUUUGGUGGGUGUGGAUGAGUGGCGAACGGGUGAGGAACACGUGAGGAACCUGCCCCCUUCUUCUGGAUAACCGCAUGAAAGUGUGGCUAAUACGGGAUAUUCUGGGUCUGUCGCAUGAUGGGUCUGGGAAAGAUAGUGUUUCGGUGGGGGAUGGGCUCGCGGCCUAUCAGCUUGUUGGUGAGGUGAUGGCCUACCAAGGCGGUGACGGGUAGCCGGCAUGAGAGGGUGGACGGUAAUACUGGGACUGAGAGACGGCCAAGACUCCUGCGGGAGGCAGCAGUGGGGAAUAGUGCACAGUGGGAGCAAGGCUGAUGCAGCGACGCCGCGUGAGGGAUGGAGGCCUUCGGGUUGUGCACCUCUUUCGCCAGUGAAGCAGGCCUGCCUCGUUUGUGGGUGGGUUGACGGUAGCUGGAUAAGAAGCGCCGGCUAACUACGUG